CCCUUAGAUGUCCUGGGCCGCACGCGCGCUACACUGAUGCAUGCAACGAGUUUAUAACCUUGGCCUGAAAGGUCUGGGUAAUCUUUUGAACGUGCAUCGUGAUAGGGAUAGAUUAUUGCAAUUGUCAAUCUUGAACGAGGAAUUCCUAGUAAACGCGAGUCAUCAGCUCGCAUUGAUUACGUCCCUGCCCUUUGUACACACCGCCCGUCGCACCUACCGAUUGAAUGGUUCGGUGAAGAUCUCGGACUUCGAUAUUUAUUCUUUAUUGAGUUUAUAUUGUGGGAAGUUAUCUAAACCUCAUCAUUUAGAGGAAGGUGAAGUCGUAACA
rnacentral:rRNA from 1 species